GACGAACGCUGGCGGCGUGCCUAAUACAUGCAAGUCGAGCGAACGGACGAGAAGCUUGCUUCUCUGAUGUUAGCGGCGGACGGGUGAGUAACACGUGGAUAACCUACCUAUAAGACUGGGAUAACUUCGGGAAACCGGAGCUAAUACCGGAUAAUAUUUUGAACCGCAUGGUUCAAAAGUGAAAGACGGUCUUGCUGUCACUUAUAGAUGGAUCCGCGCUGCAUUAGCUAGUUGGUAAGGUAACGGCUUACCAAGGCAACGAUGCAUAGCCGACCUGAGAGGGUGAUCGGCCACACUGGAACUGAGACACGGUCCAGACUCCUACGGGAGGCAGCAGUAGGGGAUCUUCCGCAAUGGGCGAAAGCCUGACGGAGCAACGCCGCGUGAGUGAUGAAGGUCUUCGGAUCGUAAAACUCUGUUAUUAGGGAAGAACAUAUGUGUAAGUAACUGUGCACAUCUUGACGGUACCUAAUCAGAAAGCCACGGCUAACUACGUGCCAGCAGCCGCGGUAAUACGUAGGUGGCAAGCGUUAUCCGGAAAUAUUGGGCGUNAAGCGCGCGUAAGCAGUUUUUUAAGUCUGAUGUGAAAGCCCACGGCUCACCCGUGGAGGGUCAUUGGAAACUGGAAAACUUGAGUGCAGAAGAGGAAAGUGGAAUUCCAUGUGUAGCGGUGAAAUGCGCAGAGAUAUGGAGGAACACCAGUGGCGAAGGCGACUUUCUGGUCUGUAACUGACGCUGAUGUGCGAAAGCGUGGGGAUCAAACAGGAUUAGAUACCCUGGUAGUCCACGCCGUAAACGAUGAGUGCUAAGUGUUAGGGGGUUUCCGCCCCUUAGUGCUGCAGCUAACGCAUUAAGCACUCCGCCUGGGGAGUACGACCGCAAGGUUGAAACUCAAAGGAAUUGACGGGGACCCGCACAAGCAGUGGAGCAUGUGGUUUAAUUCGAAGCAACGCGAGGAACCUUACCAAAUCUUGACAUCCUUUGACAACUCUAGAGAUAGAGCCUUCCCCUUCGGGGGACAAAGUGACAGGUGGUGCAUGGUUGUCGUCAGCUCGUGUCGUGAGAUGUUGGGUUAAGUCCCGCAACGAGCGCAACCCUUAAGCUUAGUUGCCAUCAUUAAGUUGGGCACUCUAAGUUGACUGCCGGUGACAAACCGGAGGAAGGUGGGGAUGACGUCAAAUCAUCAUGCCCCUUAUGAUUUGGGCUACACACGUGCUACAAUGGACAAUACAAAGGGCAGCGAAACCGCGAGGUCAAGCAAAUCCCAUAAAGUUGUUCUCAGUUCGGAUUGUAGUCUGCAACUCGACUACAUGAAGCUGGAAUCGCUAGUAAUCGUAGAUCAGCAUGCUACGGUGAAUACGUUCCCGGGUCU
rnacentral:rRNA from 1 species